UACGAAGGGGGGCUAGCGUUGUUCGGAAUUACUGGGCGUAAAGCGCGUGUAGGCUGCUCGGAUAGUCGGGUGUGAAAGCCCUGGGCUCAACCCAGGAAGUGCAUUCGAUACUGCCGAGCUUGAGUCCUGGAGAGGAAGGCGGAAUUCUCGGUGUAGAGGUGAAAUUCGUAGAUAAUCGAGAGGAACACCGGUGGCGAAGGCGGCCUUCUGGACAGUGACUGACGCUGAGACGCGAAAGCUAGGGGAGCGAACGGG
rnacentral:rRNA from 1 species